rnacentral:rRNA from 1 species
GAUGAACGCUGGCGGCGUGCCUAAUACAUGCCAGUCGAGCGAACAGACGAGGAGCUUGCUCCUCUGACGUUAGCGGCGGACGGGUGAGUAGCACGUGGAUAACCUACCUAUAAGACUGGGAUAACUUCGGGAAACCGGAGCUAAUACCGGAUAACAUGUUGAACCGCAUGGUUCAACAGUGAAAGACGGUCUUGCUGUCACUUAUAGAUGGAUCCGCGCCGCAUUAGCUAGUUGGUAAGGUAACGGCUUACCAAGGCAACGAUGCGUAGCCGACCUGAGAGGGUGAUCGGCCACACUGGAACUGAGACACGGUCCAGACUCCUACGGGAGGCAGCAGUAGGGAAUCUUCCGCAAUGGGCGAAAGCCUGACGGAGCAACGCCGCGUGAGUGAAGAAGGUCUUCGGAUCGUAAAACUCUGUUAUGAGGGAAGAACAAAUGUGUAAGUAACUAUGCACGUCUUGACGGUACCUAAUCAGAAAGCCACGGCUAACUACGUG